GCCAGCUGUGUGGACUGAGACCCCUGAAACUAAAAUGGCCAAGAAAACAUUGCAACUCAUCCCUUCAUCCUACUCAAUAUGGGACRAGUCAAGAUUCUGAAGUGAGGUGGACUGAACUGACCCUGAGCCUUGACCCUCCUGUCCUGAUAUUAGAGAUAUUCAGWGUCUCCCAUAGUGGGACACAAGCUCAAGAACUUGGUCAAAAAAGGAAAAAAAAAGUCAGGGGAAGUUUUGUUGCAAAAAUGUUAGCCUAAUACUUUUAUCUUGAUUGCAACAGAAUAUUAAACUCUGUUCAAACACCAAAAUUAUAUGUCUAGUUAAAAAUGACAGAUGCCUAACYCUUGAAGUUGGAAGAUGGGGAGAUCUUUU